rnacentral:rRNA from 1 species
UGGGCGUAAAGGGCUCGCAGGCGGUUUCUUAAGUCUGAUGUGAAAGCCCCCGGCUCAACCGGGGAGGGUCAUUGGAAACUGGGAAACUUGAGUGCAGAAGAGGAGAGUGGAAUUCCACGUGUAGCGGUGAAAUGCGUAGAGAUGUGGAGGAACACCAGUGGCGAAGGCGACUCUCUGGUCUGUAACUGACGCUGAGGAGCGAAAGCGUGGGGAGCGAACAGGAUUAGAUACCCUGGUAGUCCACGCCGUAAACGAUGAGUGCUAAGUGUUAGGGGGUUUCCGCCCCUUAGUGCUGCAGCUAACGCAUUAAGCACUCCGCCUGGGGAGUACGGUCGCAAGACUGAAACUCAAAGGAAUUGACGGGGGCCCGCACAAGCGGUGGAGCAUGUGGUUUAAUUCGAAGCAACGCGAAGAACCUUACCAGGUCUUGACAUCCUCUGACAACCCUAGAGAUAGGGCUUUCCCUUCGGGGACAGAGUGACACGUGGUGCAUGGGUGUCGUCAGCUCGUGUCGUGAGAUGUUGGGUUAAGUCCCGCAACGAGCGCAACCCUUGAUCUUAGUUGCCAGCAUUCAGUUGGGCACUCUCAGGUGACUGCGGGUGACAAACCGGAGGAGAGUGGGGGAUGACGUCACAUCAUCAUGCCCCUUAUGACCUGUGCUACACACGUGCUACAAUGGACAGAAC